CGGCGGACGGGUGAGUAACGCGUGGGUAACCUGCCUCAUACAGGGGGAUAACAGUUGGAAACGGCUGCUAAUACCGCAUAAGCGCACAGUACCGCAUGGUACGGUGUGAAAAACUCCGGUGGUAUGAGACGGACCCGCGUCUGAUUAGGUAGUUGGUGGGGUAACGGCCUACCAAGCCGACGAUCAGUAGCCGACCUGAGAGGGUGACCGGCCACAUUGGGACUGAGACACGGCCCAA
rnacentral:rRNA from 1 species